rnacentral:rRNA from 1 species
UACGGGGGGGCAAGGCGUUGUUCGGAAUUACUGGGCGUAAAGGGCGUGUAGGCGGCCAACUAAGUCCGGACGUGAAAUCCCCAGGCUUAACCUGGGAACUGCGUCGGAUACUGGAUGGCUUGAAUCCGGGAGAGGAUGCGGAAUUACGGUGUAGCAGUGAAAUGCGUAGAUAUCGUAAGGAAGACCAGUGGACGAAGGCGAAGUCUCUGGACAGUUACUGACACUGAGGCAC